rnacentral:misc_RNA from 1 species
GCUACUGGCUUCAAGUUCCUAAAAGUGCCCAAGAACAAAGCCAUUACAUGAAAUUUUGAAAUAUUUUAUUGGCAGUUUCGAUUGUGAAUCACCAGCCUCAUAUCGCAGAAGGCCAGGGUUCAAACACAGGCACGCCCUUCCUGUUCAAGAAUUUCCAAAGUACCAAAACAAAAAUUUGAAAUACAAGAUGCUAACCACAAAUUUCAAGCAGUCUUUACCUUUUGUUAAAUGUUAGUAGUUAUCAGGAACAUUAAUUAUUGUUGAGGUGUUUGAACAUACUGUAACGUUCAUUGUUCAAAAACAUUCACCAACAAAUAAUGCAAAAACCUAUGAACUCAGUUAACUACAUAGCAAACCACAACAUGGGCAUAGCCAGCUU